rnacentral:rRNA from 1 species
CCACGGGUGGCAGCAGUGGGGAAUAUUGCACAAUGGGGGAAACCCUGAUGCAGCGACGCCGCGUGAGUGAAGAAGUAAUUCGUUAUGUAAAGCUCUAUCAGCAGGGAAGAAAAUGACGGUACCUGAGUAAGAAGCCCCGGCUAACUACGUGCCAGCAGCCGCGGCAAUACGUAGGGGGCAAGCGUUCUCCGGCUGUACUGGGUGUAAAGGGAGCGUAGGCGGCCGUGCAAGUCUGGAGUGGAAGGCGGGGGCUCAACCCCCGGACUGCGCUGGAAACUGUGCGGCUGGAGUGCAGGAGAGGGAAGUGGAAGUCGUAGUGUAGCGGUGAAAUGCGUAGAUAUUAGGAGGA